GAGGAAUAGUGUGCCCAGGUCAAGUUCAGGGAAGAAGGACCACUUUACCAAUGCAGGACAUCCAGAGUUCCAGACAGGCAGUCCACCUUGGUGAGGAGGACAUGGUAACAAGCGGGGAAGGCAGGGAUACAAGAACAAGAUGAUGGUUGAUCAGAUCGCAUUCAAACACAGAAAAAUGAAACAGCACACUGUGAGACCUUGGAGCCCAUCCUGAUGAUACACUUCCUCCACCAAGACUCCACCUCCUAAGUUCCAUCACCAUCUCACACAGUGCCACCAGCCGGAGAUGUAGUGUUCCAACACACAUGCCCAUGGGGGCCAUCUCUCAUUCCAACCACACCUCUCAUCUUAGACUUUUUUUCAUGAGAUGUCUCUUCAGAUAUUUUGCCUGUUUCCCAUUUGUUUCUGUUUGCUUGCUUAGUUUUGCUUUGUAUAUCUCAUUCUUGAGUUCUGUAUUAAAGACAGUUUUGAAAAUCU
rnacentral:lncRNA from 1 species